UAUAUCUUUGAGGAAGAAAAUUAAACACUGCAAAUUUCAAUGCAAAUAAGGUGCUGGGAAAAAAAUAUACAUAUUCAUGAAAAGAAAACUUGAUAUUCACAAAUAAACCGUGAUUUUCGCAAGACGUUGAAGAAGAUAAGUCAAUAUUGAAAGAAGAAGCGAUUCCGUAAUUAGGUAUUACACCAUGGAAUCAAGGUGAUGAAAUGGACAAAGUACACAAGGAGAUUCCCAACUAGACAGAGGAGGGAGAAUUAUUUAUUCAUGAAUAAAAGACGGAUGGGUGAUUACUCUCUGAGCGGCAUAAUCCGUGUUAAAAAUUAUAUUUUAUUCAACUUCUUUUUUUUUCUUCCCUUGAUUGGUACAUGUAAAAUCCAGGCAACGGACGAGUGUGAAAUGAUUCUGAUAUAAAUGGAAUUUAUUGAUAGAAAAGUGAAAUUGAGAGCAAAAGUGAGCGUGACUACGUUUUAUUGCCCCGGAUGAAGGCUCUGCAGAAAGGAGUGAACCUGAUUUGUUGAACAUGGUGGAUAAAGCUGACAUCUCGUUGACUCUUCCAAGAAAAAAUGGCCCUUCUAAAUCCAAGUCAUAUAAAAAUGAGGGAACUUUCAAAAGGAAAAAGAAUUUAAAGCGUAGUCAGAAUAUUGAUAUUGAAGAUGAAAUGGUGGAUGAACAUGGUAUUCAUGAGGAGGAUGAAUAAGUAGAACUUGAACCAAGUACUUGGUUAGAAGAUAAAGAGAAAGAGACGAUGAAAGAUGACAAUCUGAUGGAGAGUUCUAAUGGAGAAAAACACAUCUCCAUUAAAGAUCAGACAAACAAAAGUGUUGGUAUUGUUGCUGAUGGGUCUGUUGAUGCAUCAUUGCAGACAACGCCAAAGUCAAAAUCAAAGACUUCUGAUGAACAAAAUGAGGCUGGAAAAUCUGAAAAUCCAGAUAAAGGUGACAGUCUCCAUAUAUAUGAGACACCAGUGAAGGAGUAUGAUGUGGAUUUCCAUCUUGUGGCCGGCACUAAGUGGAGCGGUGGGUGUCUCCACAUCGAGGACCCGCCAUCUCUCAAGCAUUUCUACCUAGAGUGACAAGGCCAACUGUAGUGAUUUGUCCGCAGUCUUCUCUCCCAUCAAAGAUCUAAAGAAUAUGGAAGGGGAAGAUAAAAAAAACUGCAACACUUCCUGUUAAAAGGAAGAUUUCUGGUGACUUUGAGAACAGGAAGAGGAAAUGACUGAGUGAACCAGCGUCCAGGAAACGCGACGGAGGUGAUGGCCGCUUUCCUUUAGAAAGUUGUUCCAAGUACAGGACAUUAUGUGAAUUUUCAGAUGUUCUAAUCUAUUAACUGUAUCUCACAAGUACAAUAACAUAUAUUUAUAUAUAUAUAUAUUAAUUGGACUAGGUGUUUUUGUAUAUUUAAGUACAUGCAUUAUUUUGAAAAAGGUUAUAAAUAAUUUUGACAUAUAAAUACUUCUCAAUUCCGUAUUUGUCAUUCAUUUUAAAAAUUUUAGUGCAAUACCAAUAGAACACUAUGCAUGUAUAUUUUGUCAAAAAAAUCUUAUGCAUUAAAAAUAUUGAAAUUUUUUAAUUGUUCUGUAGAUCCCAAGGAUUGGGAAACUUUGGGUUGAGUUUGUUUUUUAAAAAUCUUAAUGUUUUGAAGAUUAAGAUACAAUAAAUCUUGGACAUUUA